UGUUCUUAGUUUCCAUGAUCAAUUCACUUAACUAAUUAAAAUCCAACCAAUAUUAGUGGUGGCUACAUUUGAAAGCAUUAGAAGAAGAAGAAGAAGAAGAAGAAGAAGAAGAAGAAGAAGAAAUGAAUAUAUUCUUCCCAAGUGGAAGUUGAGAUCAGGAGAUUGUAUAUAUAUAUAUAUGUACAUAUGAAUCAUGUUUGCUGUUUGGCAAUAAACAGCAAAAAGUUUGGUCCAUUUCCAGUAAUGGAGUGGACACUGAACACUGAACAGGUUAAGGUUGGCGGGAAGCCGCGUGAUGGCCAACUACCUUGCAGCAAACUGCAUUCAGAUCACGAGGCAAAUAUGUGGUUGAUAUGUUGCGAGACAUAGAAGGUGGCAGUGGCACACGUACAUGAUUUUGGUAGGGGAGUGAGAGGCUCUCUUGUUUCCUCUGCUCAGCUCUGGGUGGUUGCAAAUUGUGGCAGUGGUGCACUAGGAAUCCUUGUAUCACUCUUCAAAAUGCCCCUUUAUUUGAUCUCUUGUUGUUAGGGACCAUUAGAUUGUGAGGGUUGGUGUUGGUGGUGUCUGUGGUGGAUUCCUUCACCUCUGCUCCCCACUGGAAAUGUCUCUCCUUUGUUGCGCCUGGGGUUCAAAGGGGUUGAACAUUCUCAAAUUGCUCGAACUGCCUUCACUUUUGGUAUUAUUGCUGUUCUUCCAUUCUACAGUUUGAUGGUUCUAGCUCCAAAAUCUGAACUUGCAAGUAUUUCCCCCUAUGUAAAGUUGUAAACAUCUAAUCUUUUGUCUAUUUGAAACGUAUAUGCAUUGUUGCUCGACUGAUAUCAGACCAGAAGAUCCAUGAAAAGCAGUAUACCAAAUGUCAUGCUAGCUGUUGUAUAUGCGGUAAUUCUUUACCUCUUUUGGACACCAGAGACACUGGAAUUGCUGUUUGCCAUUACCCGGCAUGACUAAAAUGUUCUCAAUUGAAACAACGACUGCUUCAGCUUGGCGUCACUUACUCACCAUCGAUCUUUUUGUUGCAAGUUCUUGAGUCAAAGAAAGCAAAGAUGGAGGAGUAGAGGGGAAAGCUUAAGAGAAGCCUUGAUUUUCACUCAUCACGAGUCUUGGAGCAGAGGGCUCAGCUUGACUUGGUUCUUACUCAGAGUGAGGGCUAGUAUUGCUUUGGGGUUCUUCGCCCUAGGGGGGUCUGUCCCUCUAGUUGGCUCUUUGUCUUUUUCGUUUAGUAGUUUUGUUGUAUCCUAUACUCUUUUCCCUACUCCUGGUGGGUUGACUUUUGGCACCCGUUGUUGGUGCUUUGUGUACUUGUGU